UACGUAGGGUGCGAGCGUUGUCCGGAAUUACUGGGCGUAAAGAGCUCGUAGGUGGUUUGUCGCGUCGUCUGUGAAAUUCCCGGGCUUAACUUCGGGCGUGCAGGCGAUACGGGCAAUACUUGAGUGCUGUAGGGGAGACUGGAAUUCCUGGUGUAGCGGUGGAAUGCGCAGAUAUCAGGAGGAACACCGAUGGCGAAGGCAGGUCUCUGGGCAGUAACUGACGCUGAGGCGCGAAAGCGUGGGGAGCAAACAGGAUUAGAUA
rnacentral:rRNA from 1 species